UACGUAGGGGGCAAGCGUUGUCCGGAAUCAUUGGGCGUAAAGAGCGUGUAGGUGGCCCGGUCAGUCCGCCGUGAAAGUCCAGGGCUCAACCCUGGAAUGCCGGUGGAUACUGCCGGGCUGGAGUCCGGGAGAGGGUAGUGGAAUUCCCAGUGUAGCGGUGAAAUGCGUAGAUAUUGGGAGGAACACCGGUGGCGAAGGCGGCUACCUGGACCGGUACUGACGCUGAGGCGCGAAAGCUAGGGUAGCAAACAGG
rnacentral:rRNA from 1 species